CCUACGGGUGGCAGCAGUGAGGAAUAUUGGUCAAUGGACGCAAGUCUGAACCAGCCAUGCCGCGUGAAGGAAGACGGCUCUAUGAGUUGUAAACUGCUUUUGUACGAGGGUAAACGCAGACACGUGUAUCUUUCUGAAUGUACCCUACGAAUAAGGAUCGGCUAACUCCGUGCCAGCAGCCGCGGUAAUACGGAGGGUUCGAGCGUUAUCCGGAUUUAUUGGGUUUAAAGGGUGCGUAGGCGGGCGGUUAAGUUAGGGGUGAAAUCCCGCGGCUCAACUUCGGAAUUGCCUUUGAUACUGUUAGGCUAGAGGGUAGUAGCGGUAGGCGGAAUGUGUGGUGUAGCGGUGAAAUGCUUAGAGAUCAUGCAGAACACCGAUUGCGAAGGCAGCUUACCAAGCUGCAACUGACGUUGAGGCACGAAAGCGUGGGGAGCAAACAGGAUUAGAUACCCCAGUAGUC
rnacentral:rRNA from 1 species